UCCUGGCUUAGGACGAACGCUGGCGGCGUGCCUAAUACAUGCAAGUCGAACGGUCUUUCUAUGGAAGCUUGCUUCCACUGAGAAGAUAGUGGCGAACGGGUGAGUAACACGUGGGUAACCUGCCCAUAAGAGGGGGGAUAACAUCCGGAAACGGGUGCUAAUACCGCAUAGUUUUCUUGAUCGCAUGAUUGAGAAAGGAAAGACGGCCUUUGUGCUGUCGCUUAUGGAUGGACCCGCGGCGUAUUAGUUAGUUGGUGAGGUAACGGCUCACCAAGACGAUGAUACGUAGCCGACCUGAGAGGGUGAUCGGCCACAUUGGGACUGAGACACGGCCCAAACUCCUACGGGAGGCAGCAGUAGGGAAUCUUCCGCAAUGGACGAAAGUCUGACGGAGCAACGCCGCGUGAGUGAAAGAAGGUUUUCGGAUCGUAAAACUCUGUUGUCAGAGAAGAACAAGUUGGAGAGUAACUGCUCCAGCCUUGACGGUAUCUGACCAGAAAGCCACGGCUAACUACGUGCCAGCCGCCGC
rnacentral:rRNA from 1 species